AAUGAACGCUGGCGGCAGGCCUAACACAUGCAAGUCGAACGAGGUAGCAAUACCUAGUGGCGGACGGGUGAGUAACACGUGGGAACGUACCCUUUGCUACGGAAUAGCCCUGGGAAACUGGGAGUAAUACCGUAUGAGCCCGAGAGGGGAAAGAUUUAUCGGCAAAGGAUCGGCCCGCGUUGGAUUAGGUAGUUGGUGGGGUAAUGGCCUACCAAGCCGACGAUCCAUAGCUGGUUUGAGAGGAUGAUCAGCCACACUGGGACUGAGACACGGCCCAGACUCCUACGGGAGGCAGCAGUGGGGAAUCUUAGACAAUGGGGAAACCCUGAUCUAGCCAUGCCGCGUGAUCGAUGAAGGCCUUAGGGUUGUAAAGAUCUUUCAGGUGGGAAGAUAAUGACUGUACCACCAGAAGAAGCCCCGGCUAACUCCGUGCCAGCAGCCGCGGUAAU
rnacentral:rRNA from 1 species